GCACCACCAAAGUCCACAACUCCGGCUUCGAACAACAGUGAUUCGUCUAAUAAAAGCAAAAGAAAAAUAUGGGGUUAUUGGGUUGAGUAUAAGCAUUUAUUGGAUGAUAAAGAUGGAUCUACACGUUUACGUGAGUACAUUAGGAAACGAUCCAUUUUACGGCCUGCCCCGCCAGCUUGGAUGGAGGAUGAGCGCCUGUGUUUUCGCGUGACCGACGUUGUUGAUGCAUUUCAUCUUGCAGGGUGGUGGACUGGAGUUGUUGUUCGUGUUGUUGCUACCGGUACUGGUAGUAUAGGUUGCAAGUUCCGGGUCGCUUUCAAGGAUCCGGAUGAGGAGCUUGAGUUUUCUCAGCGUGACUUGAGGUUCCGUCUUGAUUGGGUUGAUGGAAAACGAUCCAUUUUAGGGCCUGCCCCGCCAACUUGGAUGGAGGAUGAGCGCCUGUGUUUUCGAGUGAGCGACGUUGUUGAUGCAUUUCAUCUUGCAGGGUGGUGGACUGGAGUUGUU
rnacentral:lncRNA from 1 species